UUUUUAGCUCACCUGGCCCGAAGGGCCAAGUGAGCUAUUCCCAUCACUUUGCGUCCGGCGUCCGUCGUCGUCGUCCGGCGUCGUCCGGCGUCGUUAACUUUUACAAAAAUCUUCUCCUCUGAAACUACUGGGCCAAAUUUAACCAAACUUGACCAAAAUCAUCAUUGGGGUAUCUAGUUUAAAAAAUGUGUGGCGUGACCCGGCCAACCAACCAAGAUGGCCGCCACGGCUAAAAAUAGAACAUAGGGGUAAAAUAUAGAUUUUGGCUCAUAUCUCUGAAACCAAAGCAUUUAGAGCAAAUCUGACAUGGGGUAAAAUUGUUUAUCAGGUCAAGAUCUAUCUGCCCUGAAAUUUUCAGAUGAAUCGGACAACCCGUUGUUGGGUUUCUGCCCCUGAAUUGGUCAUUUUAAGGAAAUUUCACCGUUUUUGGUUAUUAUCUUGAAUAUAAUUAUAGAUAGAGAUAAACUGUAAAUAGCAAUAAUGUUCAGC
rnacentral:lncRNA from 1 species